GUGUGACUGUCUCUAAAUCUAAUAAUACCAGAAUAGGAUAUUGAACCUUCGUUUCCUAUACCUAACCAUACAUGUAUGAUGCUAGCAAGCUAGUGUACUUAGUAAAUAAGUGGUGAUUGAGCCCGGUAAAAGCUCUUAUGCAUUCAUUUGUGAAGUUAAAGAAACAUAUUCCAAGUCAAAUUUCUCACUCAACAAAUGAACAAUAUUGGUGAGGCUGGGUCAAUUACAUUUAUGAAUGGAUUGGACUUCUGUUAUAGAUGGUUUAUGGUUAUGUAACCAGAUUCUUCAUCACAGAAAAAAUAUAAAUUGAGAGGAAAUAGAGAGAGAAGGGGCGUCGGAAUAGAAGAAUAGAGAAAAGAAGAGAGGGAGGAAUAGAGAGAGAGAAAAUAGAUCUUU
rnacentral:misc_RNA from 1 species